UCAUUUCCACUCAUUUCAUGAUAGUUCUCUCACAGAGAUAGGUUAAGUUCUUAUUUUGAGAGUGUUAAUAUUUAUCAUCAAUGGCUUAUCGAGGAAGAAAAUCAAGUGAGUUUGACAAACUCCAGAAGGAGAACUCUCAGAUGAGGAGCGUCAUCGAAAACUUGAGGAAGCAAAACAUGGCUUUAAACCAACAGGAUGACCAGGACAAGUUUUCAAGUUUUGGCUAUCAGGAGAGCUACCCAAUCCCAGAGGGCCAUCGGGGCUUCAUCAGUGAUGCCAGACUUCUGCAGAUGCAGAGAGCUGAGAGAGAGGCCAUGGAA